rnacentral:rRNA from 1 species
UGGGGAAUAUUGGACAAUGGGGGCAACCCUGAUCCAGCAAUUCUGUGUGCACGAUGAAGGUUUUCGGAUUGUAAAGUGCUUUCAGCAGGGAAGAAAAAAAUGACGGUACCUGCAGAAGAAGCGACGGCUAAAUACGUGCCAGCAGCCGCGGUAAUACGUAUGUCGCAAGCGUUAUCCGGAAUUAUUGGGCAUAAAGGGCAUCUAGGCGGCCAGAUAAGUCUGGGGUGAAAACUUGCGGCUCAACCGCAAGCCUGCCCUGGAAACUAUGUGGCUAGAGUACUGGAGAGGUGGACGGAACUGCACGAGUAGAGGUGAAAUUCGUAGAUAUGUGCAGGAAUGCCGAUGAUGAAGAUAGUUCACUGGACGGUAACUGACGCUGAAGUGCGAAAGCUAGGGGAGCAAACAGGAUUAGAUACCCUGGUAGUCCUAGCUGUAAACGAUGAUUACUGGGUGUGGGCAUGAAGAGUGUCCGUGCCGAAGCUAAUGCGAUAAGUAAUCCGUCUGGGGAGUACGACCGCAAGGUUG